AAUAGAUACCCGGGUAGUCCACGCCGUAAACGAUGAGUGCUAAGUGUUAGAGGGUUUCCGCCCUUUAGUGCUGCAGCUAACGCAUUAAGCACUCCGCCUGGGGAGUACGGCCGCAAGGCUGAAACUCAAAGGAAUUGACGGGGGGCCCGCACAAGCGGUGGAGCAUGUGGUUUAAUUCGAAGCAACGCGAAGAACCUUACCAGGUCUUGACAUCCUCUGCCAACCCUAGAGAUAGGGCGUUCCCCUUCGGGGGACAGAGUGACAGGUGGUGCAUGGUUGUCGUCAGCUCGUGUCGUGAGAUGUUGGGUUAAGUCCCGCAACGAGCGCAACCCUUGAUCUUAGUUGCCAGCAUUCAGUUGGGCACUCUAAGGUGACUGCCGGUGACAAGCCGGAGGAAGGUGGAGAUGACGUCAAAUCAUCAUGCCCCUUAUGACCUGGGCUACACACGUGCUACAAUGGAUGGUACAAAGAGCUGCGAACCCGCGAGGGUAAGCCAAUCUCAUAAAGCCAUUCUCAGUUCGGAUUGGUA
rnacentral:rRNA from 1 species